GGGGCUGUAGUUCAGUGGUAGAAUGCUUACCUUGAUGUGUGAGGCACUGGGUUCAAUCCUCAGCACCACG
rnacentral:tRNA from 1 species